rnacentral:rRNA from 1 species
CCUACGGGAGGCAGCAGUGGGGUAAUUUUGGACAAUGGGCGCAAGCCUGAUCCAGCAAUGCCGCGUGAGUGAAGAAGGCCUUCGGGUUGUAAAGCUCUUUUGUCAGGGAAGAAACGGUGGGAGCUAAUAUCUCCUACUAAUGACGGUACCUGAAGAAUAAGCACCGGCUAACUACGUGCCAGCAGCCGCGGUAAUACGUAGGGUGCAAGCGUUAAUCGGAAUUACUGGGCGUAAAGCGUGCGCAGGCGGUUUUGUAAGUCUGUCGUGAAAGCCCCGGGCUCAACCUGGGAAUUGCGAUGGAGACUGCAAGGCUUGAAUCUGGCAGAGGGGGGUAGAAUUCCACGUGUAGCAGUGAAAUGCGUAGAGAUGUGGAGGAACACCGAUGGCGAAGGCAGCCCCCUGGGUCAAGAUUGACGCUCAUGCACGAAAGCGUGGGGAGCAAACAGGAUUAGAUACCCUGGUAGUCCACGCCCUAAACGAUGUCUACUAGUUGUCGGGUUUUAAUUAACUUGGUAACGCAGCUACGCGUGAGAGACCGCCGNGGAGGUACGGUCGCGAGAAUAAACUACGAAGAAGUAGACGCGNGAGACGNGACGACGACGACGACGAGGGAGGAGG